CGCACCUUGCGCCCUCUGGUAUUCCGGAGGGCAUGCCUGUUUGAGUGUCAUAUAAAAUCAUUCUCUGGGUUCCAGAGACAUGGAGUUGGGUGCUGCCGUCGGCUCACCUUAAAAGCAUCAGUGGCUAGAUGUAAUACGUUUCAUCGGCGUCACUCUAAUUCCCUCGGGAUGCAUUGCAACACCAGAAAUGACCUCAAAUCAGGUAGGGCUACCCGCUGAACUUAA
rnacentral:misc_RNA from 1 species